GCCGGGUGCAGUGGUGUGUGCCUGUAGUCCCCGCUACUUGGGAGGCUGAGGCUGGAGGAUUGCUGGAGCCCAGGAGUUCUGGGUUGUAGUGCACUAUGCUGAUCGGGUGUCUGCACUAAGUUCGGCAUCAAUAUGGUAACCUCCUGGGAGCAGAGGACCACCAGGUUGCCUAAGGGGGGGUGAACCGACCCAGGUCAGAAACAGAGCAGGUCAAAACUCCCAUGCUGAUCAGCAGUGGGAUCACGCCUGUAAAGAGCCACUGCACUCCAGCCUGGGCAACAUAGCAAGACCCUAUCUCU
rnacentral:SRP_RNA from 1 species